rnacentral:rRNA from 1 species
GGGGCCGCUGAAAGCUUGACUGACUCCAACCCAUGUGACUUACCUUUUGGUUGCCUCGGGCAGAAGUUAUAGGUCUUCUUAUAGCUGCUGCCGGUGGACCAUUAAACUCUUAGUAUAUUUUAUGUAAUCUGAGGGUCUUAUUUUAAUAAGUCAAAACUUUCAACAACGGAUCUCUUGGUUCUGGCAUCGAUGAAGAACGCAGCGAAAUGCGAUAAGUAAUGUGAAUUGCAGAAUUCAGUGAAUCAUCGAAUCUUUGAACGCACAUUGCGCCCAUUAGUAUUCUAGUGGGCAUGCCUGUUCGAGCGUCAUUUCAACCCUUAAGCCUAGCUUAGUGUUGGGAAUCUACUUCUUUUAUUAGUUGUAGUUCCUGAAAUACAACGGCGGAUUUGUAGUAUCCUCUGAGCGUAGUAAUUUUUUUCUCGCUUUUGUUAGGUGCUACAACUCCCAGCCGCUAAACCCCCAAUUUUUUGUGGUUGACCUCGGAUCAGGUAGGAAUACCCGCUGAACUUAAGCAUAUCAAUAAGCGGAGGAA